CGCUGGGGCUUCGCCCCGCCCCUCCUGCGUCAGCUCGCCUUUUCUGCUGAUUGCCUCAGGAGCGGCCUCGUCGUGCCUUAAAAUCCCCAUGCCUUGCAGCAUGAGGGAUCCUACUUCCCCAACCAGGAAUUGAACCUGUGCCCCACUCAUUUGGAGUGCAGAGUCCCAACCACUGGACCACCAGGGAAGUCCCAAGAGAGGAUUCUUGACACAGAAGAAGGAAGAUUUAAUGGCCCACAACAAAGUUAAGCAGAUCACGAGAGGAUUUACAGACUGCCGGGCCCACAGAGUGGAUCAUUCAUCAUCAGUGAGCAAGCUGAGGAAGCACACAAACAUGAGUAAGCCAUGGUUCCUGGACACAAGCAGCUCAGAUGGGGAAGUGGAAAAUGACACUUAAAUAGGUGAUUAUUACAGUUCGGGGCGGUAAGUGCAAUCCUGACUCCAGGAAGACAGGCGGGCGGCUGGCUCUUUUCCGAUGGGAGCGCUCACCUGUGCUUACGUAACCCGGGGAGGCUGGCGGGUGGGGGAAAAAAGCCAGCUCAGGGUCCAGGCUCCAUCCCCACACGUACCCCAUCCCGGCUCGGACCAACCCAGGGAGUGACUUUUUCCAGGAUCUCAUCCCGGCCAAAAUUAGCCCCCUGACCCUUUCACGACUGAAACCAACUCACCGACUCGGCUGCCG